rnacentral:rRNA from 1 species
AUUGAACGCUGGCGGCAGGCCUAACACAUGCAAGUCGAACGGUAGCACAGAGAGCUUGCUCUCGGGUGACGAGUGGCGGACGGGUGAGUAACGUCUGGGAAACUGUCCGAUGGAGGGGGAUAACUACUGGAAACGGUAGCUAAUACCGCAUAACGUCGCAAGACCAAAGUGGGGGACCUUCGGGCCUCACACCAUCGGAUGUGCCCAGAUGGGAUUAGCUAGUAGGUGGGGUAAUGGCUCACCUAGGCGACGAUCCCUAGCUGGUCUGAGAGGAUGACCAGCCACACUGGAACUGAGACACGGUCCAGACUCCUACGGGAGGCAGCAGUGGGGAAUAUUGCACAAUGGGCGCAAGCCUGAUGCAGCCAUGCCGCGUGUAUGAAGAAGGCCUUCGGGUUGUAAAGUACUUUCAGCGGGGAGGAAGGCGGUGAAGUUAAUAACUUCACCGAUUGACGUUACCCGCAGAAGAAGCACCGGCUAACUCCGUGCCAGCAGCCGCCGUAA